ACAGAGGGGGCAAGCGUUGCUCGGAAUUACUGGGCGUAAAGGGCGCGUAGGCGGCCACCGCAAGUCGUCUGUGAAAUCUCCGGGCUUAACCCGGAACGGUCAGCCGAUACUGCGGGGCUAGAGUGCAGAAGGGGCAACUGGAAUUCUCGGUGUAGCGGUGAAAUGCGUAGAUAUCGGGAAGAACACCAAAGGCGAAAGCGCUCUGCUGGGCCGAAACUGACACUGAGAGACGAAAGCUAGGGGAGCGAAUGGGA
rnacentral:rRNA from 1 species